rnacentral:piRNA from 1 species
UGAAAAGGUACAAGGUUUUGCCAGAGCUGA